GGCACGGUGGUGCAGUGGGUAGCACUGUUGCCUCACAGCAAGAGGGUUCGAAUCCCAGCCUGGGCUU
rnacentral:tRNA from 1 species